CUGGAAUACGGUACUGCUUGACAUAGAACAAAUCAGCUCUUAUUACAAAGGGUAAUAAUACAAGUGUCUCAUGUUACAGAGGAUCACAUCAGCACGGCGACACUACGCCUGCGAUACUACACUUGCUCUAUGCUAGCAGCAGAACAACUCGUAGCAGCGGAAAUCUUCUAGUAGCGGAAUAACGACGAAGGUGGUGAACUCCACUCCGCAGGGACUCUGGCUGGGACACGAUCUAGCUCGCAGGAACGGAAACCACGACAAGCAAUCAAUCAAUCACUGCAUCACCUGCAAUCUGGCAUGACACGCCAGGUCAGUACAUUGAAUGUACUUGCAAGCUCACAACAACCAAAAGCAUCAAGGCAAGACAACAUAGCAUUAAUAGAUUAAUUAACAACUACUAUGAUGCAAAAGCAACUACUAAACAUGAUACGAAACUACUACAAUACUGAUAAACCACCAUCUCAGAUCUCAAUAACCAUCUCACCAUUGGUUAACCGGCCAAGCAAUAUACCAUCUCGAUCACCUCGUGAUCUAUACCUCGGCGUGAUCACCGCGUGACCACAUCACCAACUGAAUGAUCAUCUUCAAGAUCAUCCCAACAUCAUCAUCAUCAUCCUGCCAAACUGUCACAGCUCAUCAUAUCAACAUAUUAGUCCUAUAAAAGUCAUUCCGCCACGUGCGUGUUGAUCAAACGGUGUGACCUAGUACGAACUUAUUCCCAUGACCGAGGACGUGGCUAUCGAUAGAUUAAAAUACACUCUGCAGAGGUAGCGCACUUUACCCACACUACGGAACUCAAGGCCUCACACUCCCAUUCGGGUGGACCACGGAGUUCCGACGAAACCCUUCCCUUGCCAUGACACUCUCCCGGCCACUCCGACUCACUCCCUCUCAGGGCUAAGUCAUGGGUGGCCCAUGCCCACCAAAGGCAUCUACGGCCACCGUCGUGGCAAAACGGUCCCAAACGGGGACAAGGUACCAUAAAAACAAAUGAGCACACAAGGUUUAUGCCGUCCUACCUGAUCAGGGUAGCAUCCGCGCAUAACCUUCCCUCGUUGGAGGCACCAGCGAGAGGCAUGACAAAAGACCGAAUCAAGACCCCCCCCAUAAGGUAAGUGUGGUUGCACUUGAAAAGCCCGGUUCGGAGGCACCUGACCAACUUAAUGACGAAAUUUAUCC
rnacentral:lncRNA from 1 species